GUAACAAGGUUUCYGUAGGUGAACMUGCGGAAGGAUCAUUGUCGA
rnacentral:rRNA from 2 species